rnacentral:piRNA from 2 species
UAACCAAUGGAAUCCUCUAGGGGGUAA